GUCCACGCAGUAAACGAUGAAUACUAGCUGUUGGCGAUAUAAUGUCAGCGGUACAGCGAAAGUGUUAAGUAUUCCACCUGGGGAGUACGCCGGCAACGGUGAAACUCAAAGGAAUUGACGGGGGCCCGCACAAGCGGAGGAACAUGUGGUUUAAUUCGAUGAUACGCGAGGAACCUUACCCGGGCUUGAAAGUUAGUGACUGACUUGGAAACAGGUCAUUCCUUCGGGACACGAAACUAGGUGCUGCAUGGUUGUCGU
rnacentral:rRNA from 1 species